UACGUAGGGGGCAAGCGUUGUCCGGAAUCACUGGGCGUAAAGCGCGCGCAGGCGGUCAUUUACGUCUGGGGUGAAAGCCCGGAGCUCAACUCCGGGAUUGCCUUGGAUACGGGAUGACUUGAGGAUCGGAGAGGCAAGGGGAAUUCCACGUGUAGCGGUGAAAUGCGUAGAGAUGUGGAGGAACACCUGUGGCGAAGGCGCCUUGCUGGCCGAUUUCUGACGCUGAGGCGCGAAAGCGUGGGGAGCAAACAGG
rnacentral:rRNA from 2 species